GGACUCGAAACGUCAACUCUUUUCUUCUCCGCCGAUGCUGCCAGACCUGCUGAGUUUUUCCAGGAAUGGCUGACAGAGGCAGAGGCAGCCAAAGAAGGAGAAAGGCCAGAGAAGAUGAUGCCAUUUCAGAUUCCGACCUGCAAAAUCUCCCCAAUGAAGUAGGACAGGAGAUUACUGGGGAUAGCAAAACAGUGACAUCGAUAAACAGGACGUUACAAGCAAAUUGACGUGUAAACGCAACCACAUCUGAAAAUCUUGGAAUUGUGAGAAAAAAGCAGAAACCUCUAGAUAUUCACAUCUCAAGUCAGUCAGUCAGUCUCGUUCGAGAAACUAGUCAGGUAAACAUUUCAGUUCCAGUCCUUUACCGGACCCCUAGUCGAAUUAUUUUAUGAUGCUAUACGCUGCAAUGAAGACUUGAGCUCCCAAAACUCAAUUAUUGAGAUUGCCGUGUGGUUAUCGAUGAAGGAACAUCGAGGUGCGAUAAAAAGCUGUGAAAUAGUCGUGCUUGCAUGUGGAAUUCGGGAGUGAGUCGGAGCAGCCUGGUAAUUGGAUAAUGAGAACUGACAGAUGAUCUGCCCAGGCCCUCAGUCCGCCUGCCGCUGAGGCAGUCCGCAAUGGCAGUGGUGGAUUUGAAACAUCUGCCAGAAAUCGGUAGUCUUAGUCCUUCUCAACGAAAGAGAAGGAAACCCAGAGGCUUUAAUCCGGAGCAGAGUGCAGGGGCACGGUACUCUAGAAAGAAAUUGCAGAUUGUCAUCUGUCUGCUGUCGGUGGAGCUGUGCGAACGCUUUACUUACUUCGGGAUUGUGUGCAACAUGAUUCUUUUCUGCACUCUGAAACUGGGCUACAAGAACUAUCAGGCUGCGAUUGUCAAUCUAUGUUUUGUUGGAGCUAGUACCUUGACUCCAGUGUUGGUAGGAUGGUUUGCAGAGUCUUGUAUGGGGAGAACCAAAGUGGUUUACAUCUGUGCAUUCCUCCACUUUAUAGGUACUGUUAUGCUGCCUGUUGUUGCAUUCCCCUUUGAGGAUUUCUACAUCGAUACUCACCAUACCAUUCAUGCUCUUGCUAAAAAGGAGCAAACUGUGCUGUUUUACAUUGGCCUCAUGUCAGUUUCUUUGGGUUCAGGAGGAAUCCGGGCUGUUGUUUGUCCAUUCAGUGCUUACCGCCUACAGGACUACAGCCAAGGCCAACUUCUAACUUUCUUCAACUGGUUUCACUGGUUUGUGAACUUGAACUCUGCAGUUGUGUUUGUGAGUAUCGCCUAUAUUCAACAAUCUAUAGCCAAGAACCUCGGCUUCCUUAUUCCUUUUGCAUCCGUCCUGACAACCUUGCUGACCAUACACAUGGUGCAGAACAGACUUAUAUACCGACCUAAAUCAGGUGGCUCCCUGAUGACAGUUUUUGGUGUUUUAGUCAAUGCUCUGAAGAUGUGUUGCAUGAGAUACCGUCACAUCAGUGGAGACGUGAGCAGUUGGUUGGACCGAGCUAAGGAGAACUACGGUGGCUGGUACAGCGAAGCCCAUGUGGACAAUGUCAAAUGUCUUGUCAGAUUAAUUCCACUAUUUGCCUUUCAGAUUUUAUAUAGGUUCUGCAUACUCCAGAUCCCGUCAACAUAUUUCAUACAAACAAUGCACUCCAAUCUGAACCUGAGGGGAUUUCUCCUUCCAAUAGCAGCACUGAAUGUAAUAGGUCUCAUUCCUGUAUUGCUGCUCGCACCUUUUCUGGAAUAUAUUGGAGCUUGCUUACUGUCUGUUCGUAGAGACCCAUUAUCACCAUUGGCACAGAUGGUUACUGGUCACUUGUGUGCAGUGUUGUCCAUAGUGGUCGCUGGGAUAUCAGAGGUGCACAGGAGAAGCUUUCCGCUGGUGGAGCAGACGCUAUCUGGAAAGGUGCUCCUCGUGUCUUCGAUGCCCUGCUUUCAACUCGCUCCUCAGUACCUCUUGCUCGGAAUUGCAGAGGCAUUGGUAACACCUGCCUGUACACUGAUUACUUUUAGACUAUCUCCAAAGAGCAUUCAAGGAAUUGCAAUGCAGUUCAUGACUCUCUUCAAUGGUGCAGGCUGCUUUGUGGGAGCGAUUAUUAUUCAGACUAUCUACCAAAUAUCUGGAGGCGAUUGGUUUCCAAAUAAUCUGAAUGUUGGGAAUUUGGACACUUUCUUUUUCCUCAUGGCUGCGUUCGUACUGCUAAAUCUUCUGGGAUUAUGGCAAAUUUCUCACAGGUACAGAGAUCUUCAACAGGAAGAUGAUCGAUAUGUUAAAGGAGCUCUUCUGGAAAAGUUGAUAGAACAUGAAAAGUCUCUGAAGUUCUAUGACAGUGUUCUGGAAUGUCCCUCCACCUUCCAUCCUGGGGAGAUAGCGCUAUGAGAACAAAUUCAAAGUGGGUAGUGCUGGCAUUACCUGCCUUAUUCCCUUAAAUUUGUCCUGCCAUGAAAUGUGUUAGGGAAUGGACGACCUAUCUUUUUUCAUGGAACUACGCAUGUCAAGUUUUUUAGUUAUCACCUUGUCUCUUGUUGCCUAACUUUUAAGUAUCAGUUCUUUUCUCCAUAAAAAACUGGCAUCAUUUUCAAUGAGAGUUCUGCUCUCAUCAGUCCCUAUUUAGUUUGGUUUUGGUUGGCGAAUUGAAAUACUGAUAUGAAAUUAUAUUGGAAGUUUACAAAUGAAACAAAAUUAAAUAUUUGCUCACUGCUAAUUACAGUUCCGGGAACACAGCUAUGCGGAAGACUUUCUGAUGUCAUCUGUUUCUGGUGGGGAGGGCCACUUUGCUCUUAGUCCAUUAGAAUUCCCUAAAAUAAUAGUUUCUCCAGUAUCUUCAUCAACAGUCAAGAGAACGCUGCAGUGGUCAGAAUUAAAGACUUUCCUUCAUAAAUAAUGACGAAAUUAUGACCUGGACUUUUCUGUGCAUUGCUUUUUUUAUUAGGUAUCUAAUAAAAAAGGUGCAUGACUAGAAAUUUCUGUUGACAGCUACCAAACCAUAUCAGAAGAAGCCAAAAACUCUGUGAGUAGUAUACAGCACCACAAGGCUUGACACAAAAAAGGCAAAAUACUGCAGGUGCUGGAAAUCUGAAGCAAAAACAGAAAAUGCUGGAAAAGCUCAGCAGGUCU